GGCGAUUAGAACUAUUUGUUGAGAGCAUCCCGUUGCACACGGGAGGGUCGGGGGUUCGACUCCCUCAUCGCCCA
rnacentral:tRNA from 1 species